UCAGGCCUAACACAUGCAAGUCGAGCGGUAGCAGGAAGUGCUUGCACUUCGCUGACGAGCGGCGGACGGGUGCGUAACACGUAGGAAUCUGCCUGGUAGUGGGGGAUAGCCCGGAGAAAUCCGGAUUAAUACCGCAUACGCCCUACGGGGGAAAGGAGGGGACCCGUUUCUUUUAUAAGAAGCGAGCCUUUCGCUAUCAGAUGAGCCUGCGUCGGAUUAGCUUGUUGGUGGGGUAAAGGCCUACCAAGGCGACGAUCCGUAGCUGGUCUGAGAGGAUGAUCAGCCACACUGGGACUGAGACACGGCCCAGACUCCUACGGGAGGCAGCAGUGGGGAAUAUUGCACAAUGGGCGAAAGCCUGAUGCAGCCAUGCCGCGUGUGUGAAGAAGGCCCUAGGGUUGUAAAGCACUUUCAGUGGGGAGGAAAGGUUGAAGGUUAAUACCCUUCAGCUGUGACGUUACCCACAGAAGAAGCACCGGCUAACUCCGUGCCAGCAGCCGCGGUAAUACGGAGGGUGCGAGCGUUAAUCGGAAUUACUGGGCGUAAAGCGUGCGUAGGCGGCCACCUAAGUUGGAUGUGAAAGCCCCGGGCUCAACCUGGGAACUGCAUCCAAAACUGGGUGGCUAGAGUACGGGAGAGGAGUGUGGAAUUUCCUGUGUAGCGGUGAAAUGCGUAGAUAUAGGAAGGAACACCAGUGGCG
rnacentral:rRNA from 1 species